CUGGUAGGUGGCUUCUCAAGUCGCGUGUGAAAGCUCCCGGCUCAACCGGGAAAGUGCGCGCGAAACUGGGUGGCUUGAGUGCCGGAGAGGGUCGCGGAAUUCCCGGUGUAGAGGUGAAAUUCGUAGAUAUCGGGAGGAACACCAGAGGCGAAGGCGGCGACCUGGAAGGUGACUGACACUGAGCAGCGAAAGCGUGGGGAGCAAACAGGAUUAGAUACCCUGGUAGUCCACGCCGUAAACGAUGGGUGCUAGCUGUGGCGGGAGUUGACCCCUGCCGUGGCGACGCUAACGCAAUAAGCACCCCGCCUGGGGAGUACGGCCGCAAGGCUAAA
rnacentral:rRNA from 1 species